GUUAUGACGUCACAGAUAUUUAUUUAUAGUUAUUGAUAUUAUUUUGGUAAAGAAUUGAAAAAAAGGAGUCGAAAACUCGAAAAGUUUUAUUGACGGUUAACAGUUUGUCAAUAUAAAUAAUAAUGUUGUGGAUUUUACAUGGAUCGAAGAUUCAUCAAAGGGGUCACUCAUACCAACUAUCUAGCAUAAAUAACUAUGAAUUACGGCACUUUCACAAAGUCAGAUAAUCAGGUCAUCAACUACGCAUCCGAUAACGCAUCCGAAAACGAUCGACAGGUCACCUGCGACGCAUCCGAGGACGGUCGACAGCAGGUCAUCGAGGACAGUCGGUAGUAGGUCAUCGAGGACAGUCGGUAGCAGGUCAUCGAGGACAGUCGGUAGCAGGUCAUCAACUACCAUCCGAGAACGGUCGGCAGGUCACCUGCGACUUCGUCAUCAACGUCACCCGCGACGAAUCCGAGGACGGUCGGCAGGUCACCUGCGACCUCGUCAUCAACGUCACCUGCGACGAAUUCGAGGACGGUCGACAACAGGACACGAACGACGCAUCCGAGGACGGUCGGUAGCAGGACGCAGAUUGACCCCCUUGAUAAGUUGGUAGAUUGGAUAUUGGGUAAUGGAGCAAAACCAAAUUUUCUCAAACGGAACAAUCAAAAAAUAGGCAAAGUGGUGGUGGACUAGAAAAUGGUGAAUAUAUGUCUAAUGUAAUUUACAAAAGAAGUAAGGACGAAUCUCUUAACCUGGAUUACGCAAGGGGCUUUUAAAAUGAGCGCGAACGGAGAAAUUCCGACAAAGAGGUUAGCGACUAAAAGUCCAAUCUGGCCGUGUGCAGGUGACCUAUUCAUUAUGGAUACAGACACUUUCAAAAAUAAAAUGGGCCGACGAUGUGAUGGUUAUUUAUGGGCAAAUGAUGGGGCAAAGAAAUAUAUAUAUAAAAAAAUAAAAAAAAUAGAUUUACUUAAGGUUAGGCAUAGAAUUAAAGUAGUUGAAAAGGAUACAGGAAAACCGCGAGCUUCCAGUGAUUUUAUAAGAAUAGAAUACCAAAUAGCGGAGUGUGAUCGGUUUUUUUUUAAUUCAUUACAUUGGGGAUGAACUUGUUUAAACCAAUAGGUCACGGCAAUCAAAAAAGCGAGGACAAGGUUUUCUAAAGGACUUGUCGAUCUGUAUUCGAUACGAUUAAAGAAGAGAUUGAAAUAGGCAAAUCGGCUGGUAAAAUAUAUUAUAAUAUGAAAUGCUCUGCCGAAGGAGAAAUGGCUGCCUCAGAGACUCCUAAAAAUUUACGACAAGUACAAAAUGUGUCUGCUCUAUUACAAUAAAAUAAAAGAUUGUCUCAUGACGAAAUAUAUAAUACAAUUGAAUGAGCAUUCCAAUAAGAUGGAUUUAUUCUUCAAAUUGAUAUCUAUCCCUCUCUCGUUAUAAUAUUAGGAAUGAAGCAAGCAUUAAGCGAUUUAAAUGAACUAUUAGCAGUAAAAACAACUGAGCACGUUUUGUUCUCAAUGUAUACAACAUUUGACUGUGGAAACUUUUAUUUAACACAUAUUGUAUACAAGAACUUUUUUAUUCAAAUCAGAGCCAACGAUACCAGUUGCUUUCGUGAUGCAUGAAAAAAAAUAUCAGAAAUUUCACGAAAGACUAUUGCAGGUGAUUAUUGAAAAAUGUCCGAACUUGGUAAAAAAAGACAUACAUUUUGUAGCAGACAGAAAGGUUGGGCUAACAAAGGCAAUCGAAAAAAUAAUUCCGAAUUCAAAAAUAUUUCAUUGUUGGAAUCAUAUUAAGCGAGAUGUAAGAGAAUGGCUAAGACAAAUAAGUCCAACAACUGAUGUUGAUGUUUAUUUAAGCAACCUUGACACUUUAAUAUGUGUGAUAAUGAAAAUCAGUUAAGGAGUUCGUUAAAUAGUUUAAGGGGUGCAUGGUGUGAAAGCUUCUGUUCUUAUUUUUAACAACAUGUUAAUAGAUAGAUUUGUGAUUUACAAUUCCAGUUCAUCCUUAAAAAAAUGUGAUUAUAAUAUUUAUUUAAUAUUUCACACUACACUGUAUAAUUGUAAUAUAUUUAAUAUGUAUAUGAAACACAAAAAACUG